GUAGUGAUAGCUUAGUUGGGAGAGCAUCAGAUUAAAGAUCUGAAAGUCGCAUGUUCAAUCCAUGCUCAUCA
rfam:Vigna radiata var. radiata cultivar VC1973A chromosome 7, whole genome shotgun sequence